AUACGAAGGGGGCUAGCGUUGUUCGGAAUUACUGGGCGUAAAGCGCGCGUAGGUGGUUUGGUAAGUCAGAUGUGAAAGCCCUGGGCUCAACCUAGGAACUGCAUUUGAAACUGUCUGACUAGAGUAUGGUAGAGGGAAGUGGAAUUCCACAUGUAGCGGUGAAAUGCGUAGAGAUGUUGAGGAACACCAGUGGCGAAGGCGACUUCCUGGACCAAUACUGACACUGAGGUGCGAAAGCGUGGGGAGCAAACAGGAUUAGAAACCCUAGUAGUCC
rnacentral:rRNA from 1 species